GAUGAACGCUGGCGGCGUGCUUAACACAUGCAAGUCGAACGAUGAAGCCCAGCUUGCUGGGUGGAUUAGUGGCGAACGGGUGAGUAACACGUGAGUAACCUGCCCUUAACUCUGGGAUAAGCCUGGGAAACUGGGUCUAAUACCGGAUAGGAGCGUCCACCGCAUGGUGGGUGUUGGAAAGAUUUAUCGGUUUUGGAUGGACUCGCGGCCUAUCAGCUUGUUGGUGAGGUAAUGGCUCACCAAGGCGACGACGGGUAGCCGGCCUGAGAGGGUGACCGGCCACACUGGGACUGAGACACGGCCCAGACUCCUACGGGAGGCAGCAGUGGGGAAUAUUGCACAAUGGGCGCAAGCCUGAUGCAGCGACGCCGCGUGAGGGAUGACGGCCUUCGGGUUGUAAACCUCUUUCAGUAGGGAAGAAUCGAAAGUGACGGUACCUGCAGAAGAAGCACCGGCUAACUACGU
rnacentral:rRNA from 1 species